UACGUAGGGUGCGAGCGUUAAUCGGAAUUACUGGGCGUAAGCGUGCGCAGGCGGUUAUGUAAGACAGAUGUGAAAUGCCCGGGCUUAACCUGGGAACUGCAUUUGUGACUGCAUGGCUAGAGUGUGUCAGAGGGGGGUAGAAUCCACGUGUAGCAGUGAAAUGCGUAGAUAUGUGGAGGAAUACCGAUGGCGAAGGCAGCCCCCUGGGAUAACACUGACGCUCAUGCAACGAAAGCGUGGGGAGCAAACAGG
rnacentral:rRNA from 1 species